rnacentral:rRNA from 1 species
GAUGAACGCUGGCGGCGUGCCUAAUACAUGCAAGUCGAGCGAAUGGAUUAAGAGCUUGCUCUUAUGAAGUUAGCGGCGGACGGGUGAGUAACACGUGGGUAACCUGCCCAUAAGACUGGGAUAACACCGGGAAACCGGGGCUAAUACCGGAUAACAUUUUGAACCGCCUGGUUCGAAAUUGAAAGGCGGCUUCGGCUGUACUCUAUGGCUGGACCCGCGUCGCAUUAGCUAGUUGGUGAGGUAACGGCUCACCAAGGCAACGAUGCGUAGCCGACCUGAGAGGGUGAUCGGCCACACUGGGACUGAGACACGGCCCAGACUCCUACGGGAGGCAGCAGUAGGGAAUCUUCCGCAAUGGACGAAAGUCUGACGGAGCAACGCCGCGUGAGUGAUGAAGGCUUUCGGGUCGUAAAACUCUGUUGUUAGGGAAGAACAAGUGCUAGUUGAAUAAGCUGACACCUUGACGGUACCUAACCAGAAAGCCACGGCUAACUACGUGCCAGCCGCCGCGGUAA